ensembl:lincRNA
CUUGAGCUCCUUCUGGAAUUUACCCUGAAUUAUCUGAGUGAGCCCUAAAUGCAAUCACGUGUAUCCUUCUAGGAGAGAAGCAGAUGGAAUUUUGAGAGAGAAAACGAGGAGGUAAAAUGAAGACAGGCAGAGAUGGGAGUGGUGCAGCCAAGAGCCAAGCAACACCUAGCGCCACCAGCAGCUGGAAGAGGAAAAGAAGAGAUUUAUCUCCAGAGUCUUAGAAGGAAGCACAGCCGUGCUUUAAUUUUGGACUUCUGGCUUCCACAAUAAGAAGAGAAUAAAUCGAUGUUGCCUUAGUCCAUCCAGUUUAUGGUAAUUUGUUACAGCACUCUAGGAAACUAAUACAACAAACAAGGCCUGACUGAACAGAGUGGAAAGUUAGCAGAGAGGAAGGAGAGGUUACUUCACCCCUGGGGUCUCGACUCAGAAUAGAGAUUGAGAAUCACAGAUCUAGUUGAACCAUCCAACUUUCGAACAUGAAUAAACUGAGGACCCAGAGGUGAAGUGAUUUUUCCACAGUCCCACGACAGAUAUGGCCAAACCAGGGAUCCUUUUGCAUUGUGGUUUUGGGAAUCACCUGUAAACAGUAAGAACAAGGUAGCAAGGCUGGGGCUCAGCUGUAGACAAUAAAGCCUUUGCCUGAGGGUUGCAGGAAUGAGAGGCCUCUCUGAGAGGCCCCAAGUCGAUUUUGCCCUUCUCCAGAGACAGAGAGCUGGUCUACCUGAGGCUGACAUGGGGAGGAAAGGCAAAGAGAAGGAUUGCCUGAAUGUCAAUGGUGAUUUUGCACAUUUUACAGUCACUUUUAUAAAAAGGUAAGUGGAAAAAAAUUCUAUUUUCCAUUUCCUGCCAGGUUUUAUAUUUUACCCUUCACUUGCAAAAAAUGUCCAAAUCCAACGCUUACACUUUAGAGGUGUAAUUUGGUUCUAAUUUUAUUUUUAAAAAUUUGCAGAUAGAGUUAGUGGCUCACUGUAUCAUUUUAUUUUUUCUAAAGCAGUAUAAUUUCUGGAGUGCAAAUGAGAAAGAUUCGAGAGGCCUGGUAUAAGAUAUAAAUUUAGUUAAAAUUGUUCCUCUAGAUUGUAAAUUAUACAUUGUGAUCCUGAUAUUCUAGUAAUAUUAACACAACUGAUGCAUAAUCUUAAAGUUUAUGUGCCUCUACCCUUUCAUUUUUAAACCUUCUGGAGGAUUAACAUGCUGUUCAAUAGUCUACAGACCUGCAG